GGACGGGUGAGUAACGCGUGGGUAACCUGCCUCAUACAGGGGGAUAACAGUUGGAAACGACUGCUAAUACCGCAUAAGCGCACAGUACCGCAUGGUACAGUGUGAAAAACUCCGGUGGUGUGAGAUGGACCCGCGUCUGAUUAGCUUGUUGGCAGGGUAACGGCCUACCAAGGCAACGAUCAGUAGCCGACCUGAGAGGGUGACCGGCCACAUUGGGACUGAGACACGGCCCAGACUCC
rnacentral:rRNA from 1 species